ACAGGACGACAUAAGGCUCGCAACCAGAAUUCCCUUCAGACGCUUCCCAACCACGACGGAGUUCACAACACAGAGAGCAUAAGUAUCAACAUGUGGUCGAGGUGCACAGUGUACACCGGGAUCCUGCUAGCUGUCCUGUUCCUUGUGGCGAUUUACUCUACUGCUGAAGCCACACCCUUCCCAAGCCCGAGCUGCUGCCCCUUCCAUUCCUGGUGCUGUCUGUCAUCGCCCAGUCCCUGCCCGCCAGGUGUCGACUGCAGCCAACUUCCAAAUCACAGAUGCUGUUAUUAGAAAAGGUGACAGAUUUGUCCCAGGUCUUCUAGAAUAUAGUUCAUGUAAGCCAAAGCGCAAAUAAAUGAAAAAUGUAAAA